CUGGUGGGCUGUGCCCCACCAGCCCAACCUCUCAGACGCUGGGAGCUGGUGCCUGGAGAGGGAGGCACAAAAGCAAAUUCCACUCGCUGGAGCCUGGGAAUGUGUUUGGGAGAGAGCAAGGGGUCAGCUCCACAUCCAUCGUGUCCCGCACGGAGUGAGAUCAACUCUCGCCAUGUUAAUUAACUCUCAGCCGCGUGCACCCCUGGGUGGACAGAGAAGCGCAGCCUGGUUUGCUGUUCCCGACCCCGAGCCCGCUACAAUGGCCUUUUUACGGGGUCAAAGCCACGGAUCAGGCCUAAACCAGGGCCAGGGACCCAGGCACAGUUCUGCAACCAGAAAGAACCUCUUCCAACGUGGCCCUUGACUUCUCAGGCGCUCUUCCUGUGAGGGGCCCUUCGCCUCGACAUUCCCCUACGGUGCCUUAAUUUCCGCCUGAGUCUUCGAGGCAAGUUCUAUUAUUCCACUCGACAGGUGAGAAAACAGACUCAGGGAAGUGAGGUGACUGCCCCCCCCCCCCCAUCUCACAAGCAGUACGGGGACAAAACAGAAUUUGAACUCAGGAGACCAGAGACCCCAACCCAAGGCCCAAGUUAAGCACGGUUCCAGGCACGGCCUCAGGGUGGGCGCGGCGGAUGGAAUUCUGGCCCGAGGCCCCUCUCCUCGCCCUCGGCCCCGGGGGCCCGCGGGAGCCUCUGGGGCUCCGUCUCUCCCCAGGCCUUCGACUCCCCAGCGGAGGAGUGGGCCAGGGAGCCACAUGAAGGCGAAGCAGCGAGGGCACCGGAGUGGAAAGCGCGGCGAGAACACUCAGCGCAGAGCCCCUUCGCCCGGCCAGCCGCAGCCCUCCUUUGGAUCAAACCUGGGUGUCUGUAGGGUGCGUGCCGGAGCGGCGGCCGCCCAGGGUCGCCAGGCUGUCUCCGCAGCUUUCUGGCUGGGUGCAGCUGAGCCAGGGACCAACACGCGAAGAGUACUGUUCAUUGCCCAACGAUUUGCUUUAAUUUUUGAGCGCCUAAUAUGCACUGCUACCCUGAUAAACUCUUAAUGUGCGUUGUGUUGCUUCGUACCCAGUCCUUGGGGGAAAGUGUGACGUUCUACGUUUUAGAGACAAGACCGCCGAGGUUCAACGAGGCCGGGAGUUCAACUUGCCCGCGGUCACAGUGCUGCUGAACGUCCAGGAAGAUGGGAACCUAGAUCCCAUUCCCACUCAGGUUUUUAAAUUCUUACCUUCAGUUCCAGUUGUGUAGGGUCAGACCUAGAGGCUUUCGUUCAGUUCGAUUCCCUUUACUUGAGCGAUCAUUCACAGAAACUCAAGAGAACGGGUCUUUCAUUAAUUUCAUUCAUGUUGAGCACCUAGUAAAUGCUAGGCCCUGGGGCCCGAAGACAAAUCAAUUGUGAUGGACCCUUAAAGUGUUCACUGACCAACUAGGGACACAGUCACCCAUCAAUGACCUUACGGUGAGAAACAGGGUGUUUAAGGGGGAGUGAGGAAAGGAGGGUCAAGGGAGACUUCCUGAAGAAGGGAAUCCCUGAGGUGAAACAUUAAAUUUCCCAAAUGGAAACAUUGUUAUUGCUUGUUCUGAUAAAACAUUAUAAAGCAUUUUAGACAAUUCA